GCCCAGACUCCUACGGGAGGCAGCAGUGAGGAAUAUUGGUCAAUGGGCGUAAGCCUGAACCAGCCAAGUCGCGUGAGGGACGACGGCCCUACGGGUUGUAAACCUCUUUUGCCGGGGGACAAACGGCGGCACGCGUGCCGUCCUGAGGGUACCCGGAGAAAAAGCAUCGGCUAACUCCGUGCCAGCAGCCGCGGUAAUACGGAGGAUGCGAGCGUUAUCCGGAUUUAUUGGGUUUAAAGGGUGCGUAGGCGGGCUGUUAAGUCAGCGGUAAAAAUUCGGGGCUCAACCCCGUCGUGCCGUUGAAACUGAUGUUCUUGAGUGGGCGAGAAGUAUGCGGAAUGCGUGGUGUAGCGGUGAAAUGCAUAGAUAUCACGCAGAACUCCGAUUGCGAAGGCAGCAUACCGGCGCCCAACUGACGCUGAAGCACGAAAGCGUGGGUAUCGAACAGGAUUAGAUACCCCAGUAAA
rnacentral:rRNA from 1 species